rnacentral:rRNA from 1 species
GACGAACGCUGGCGGCGUGCUUAACACAUGCAAGUCGAGCGGUAAGGCCCUUUCGGGGGUACGACGAGCGGCGAACGGGUAGAGUAACACGUGGGUGACCUCGCCCUCCAGCUCUGGGAGUAAGCCUGGGAAACGUGGGCCGUAAUACUGGAUAUGACUCCACGGUGCAUGUCGUGGGGUGGAAAGCCUUGUGCGGCUGAGGAUGGGCCCGCGGCCUAUCAGCUUGUUGGUGGGGUGANGGCCUACCAAGGCGACGACGGGUAGCCGGCCUGAGAGGGCGACCGGCCACACUGGGACUGAGACA